CCCUCCCCCCAUCCCCACCACUUCGGCUCGGCUCGGCUCGCUUGGUGCUCUCUGGCCAAUGAAGGCAGCUGGGUUCGGGAGGUGAAAGUUCAGCAAGAGGACAACCCUGUCAGGAAGUAGAAAGUGUCAAUCUGCAGAGUGCCAAACCUUACUGUUAUCUGACUCCACUGACCAUUUCAAAGCAAAACGAGGACAAGCUGCAAAGUGCCGGUCCACACGUGUCAUUUCUCUCUCUCCCUCUCUCUCAUUCAGUCACCACGGCCAGAAGCGUUUAUUUAUUAUUUUGCCCGAAAGGAAUAACAAAGUAAAGUUAUGUUGGAAGGGGGACCAUUAGAGGCCGUGCUGAAGAGUGGCGGAUUUAUCUCAAGUCUCCGUUCUACUCAGAGAUGGAUUUGUGCAAAUGGAGAGCCUGGAACGCCAUCCCCUGGUUACAAAAAUAAUUGGGAAACGCCAAGGAGGAAAUAAUGCAUAUACAAUGGCAGUAUUAUUUGAGCGCGAUUCGAUGCAGAAUGCAAUGGUACAAAGUUAGGAACAUUAUAAACAUUUAGUGCGUGUAGGCGUCAUAAUCAAAAUGAUUGAACAAAACAAAAUGUCAGAAUUCUUAGAAUCAAAUGAUAACUCACAUUUAGGUUUCAUUCCAAUUAUACAAGGAACGCUUUUUUUAAUUAAAGUUAAUAGUUUAGAUGCAAUUAUAGAACCGGUUGAAGCCAAUCCACACGUGUUUAUCACAUCAAAUACCUGCACAACGGUUAAAACCGUGUCAUGAAUCUUCUCGCGAACCCCGCAGUUCUCCCCAGCUGUGUAAAUACUAGCCCAUUGUACACAAAAUAAACUAAACUCGCUUCUCGCCAACAAAGUGGAAACCGAAAAUCGUUGGGAUCUUUCCCCCUCCUAACGAAUAGCUUCGAAUAGCAGAACGUAACCCCAGUUCGUUUGAACAGCCUGCACUUUUCUGAUCCCUUUCCGAGCAUAUUCCUAACACCGUUUCUGAACUCUGCGAUCUCCGUCUCCGAACGCGAGGAAUGCGCCGACGUUUUAUUCCGAAUUCCAUCAAACUGUGACCGUCCCUGUAUAUUUCGGAUAACUGUGUGGAGAUUUGGUGGUUUUAAAUUCAGCCUGUGGGACUUACCUGGUCGCCGAUUGCUUUUUGUUGUUGAAAUGCAAAGCACAAACACGGAGCGUCAACAAACAACGAGAUAACAACAAACAAAUCCGACAUGCAAGCUAACUGUUAAACUUUAUUGCAAAGUUAAUCCAGCUAUCAUUUCUCAACACUCCAUGCGCGUUUCGCCUCAAAAUCUUUUCUCAAAAAAGCACAUGCCUGAUUUAAUAAACCCAUUUUCAAC